GGUGAGUAUCUGAGCACAAAACACAUGCAUUCUUAAAAAAAAUUCAUGUAUAGAAGAAUGACAAUAAGUGCUUGAGAUUUGAGUUGUAUGGUUGUACCUCCAAAUGAUCCCCAGUAUUGAUGAGAAAGGAAUUGGGUAAAGGUUGGAUAGGAAUCCACUUAUCAUUAUGUUGAAUUUGAAGCCCACCAAGAUCAUUUUGCAUCAGGAGGGUCAAAAGCCCAUGAUCUGUGUGCGGAGGUAGCCCCAUUACAUCUUCAGGCUUAGGACAUGGUGGGUAAAAGUUGAUUACCAGCAACUGGUGAGCCCCUGACUCUAAAUUCAUCCUUUUAUGUAUGUAGUUUUCUUCAAGGCCCAAGCUUAGUGAUAUUCCUUUUAGCAAAACUCCAGUCACCUCCCUGCUCUUUGUGAUGUAUUCCUCCAAAGUUUCACUGAAAAUUACAUUGACAAAGAAAAACAAGAUAAGAACAUUAAUGUUACAUUUUAACCUUAUUUCAACCCACAUUUCAAAUGUUAAAAAAAAUGCAACUUAGACAUACAAUCACUGCGGUGCAGACACCUAACACAUAUCUUAUCUUAUUCUAUAUCUAUUAUAUAUGUCACAUUUAUUAUUUUUCUAUUUUCUCUUCAUUUCUCAUUUUAGUUGUUUGUUGAAUGUCUGCAGUAAGGGGAUGUUUGCAAAUUAUUUUCUAAGAAAAAUAUAUCUGAGAUAUUAUGAGUGAUGUGAUGAGAACAAAUAAAUAGAAAGAAAAAAGAGGGAAACCUUAGAAGAGAAAAUGAGUCUGAUUGUAUCCAAGUAUUUCUUUUUGAGAUGAAUGAUUCUAUCAGAGUUAAUAUAAGUAUAAGCAGCAAAUCAAUAUUUAUGGAUUGGUUAGGUAGUUUUGGCUUAUAUGGUGAACACUAAAAAGAUGCACUUGUGUCCAAAGUCUGUAGGGUUCGGUAACCCCUGAAAGUGAUUAGCUUUUAGCUAAUAAAGAUUAAAUAUCUAUGAAUAGACCGUAAGUUGAGGAUAUCAAUCAUAUCUACGAAGGAAAUUGAUGGGAUGUCCUUCAUUGCAUGAAUUUGGUCCAUCCCACUCUUCGUUGUCCCCCAUUAGGUUUUGAAUUUCUCCUCCCUAACAGCUAAGUACUGUAUUAUUAAUGUCACUUUUUUAGUCCUAAUUAUUUCGUGAAGCGCCAAAUAAUUAAUGUCACUUACUCUUUGUAUACUCAUUUUUGUGAUGGUUUUUGAUAGUGUUAAAGUUUAUUGAUAUUUAGAAACUGUAACAAACGUUUAGUGUCCAAUAGUGAUUUAUACUGUACAGUAAUUAAGUAAUAUGUGUACGAGACUCAAUAAUAAGGCAAAAUUAUGUCUGUGAAGAUAAGAGUAUUAAUGACAUACCUAAAACCAAGGGGCUUGGAAGGAGCAUGGAAGUGAGGGUGAACAUGACACUUGAGAUAAUCUCUCCAAAACAGGGUCUUGUCCACCAUGACAUUGAAGCUUGUCCCACAUCGUAUUGGAUCGAAUAAAUUCUCACCUGAGAACUCCCGUUUUUCUUCCUCAGUCAGAUCGAAAAAGCUCUUGGUUGAUCUAAGCACCUCACCCCUCAGUUUCUCCGACACUCCAUGAUUGAUUAG
rnacentral:lncRNA from 1 species